CCGCCCCGCGCGCGGGAGCGGGCGCGCUGCGGCUGAGGGCCGGCGAUCCGCGGGCGGCCGCCACAAGGCACAGGCACUGUGUGGUGGAGAGGGGUCGGGCCCGACUCACUUGUGGCUCUGGACUGACUCCCGGAGUUGGAUCGGGAACGUGAAACAUUUCUUUCCACCAUCACAAAAGGGAAGGCCCGAGAAGCGCUGCUUCUGUCCUCUGUUUUCCUCUUCAAGAGGACAUUUCUCUCUCUUGAAGAGAAAAAUAGAGAACAUGAAGGCAUCUGGUUUCGUAUCAAUAGAGGACAACCGGACUGUCCUCUGAUGGCCGCCCUGUUCGUCUGUGACAGGCCGCGCCAAGCCCUUCCUCGUGUUUGUUUUAAUCUUACUGCUAGUUUCCUUCUGCGCCCCUCGGGCUUGUAUGGUGAGAUGCCUCUCACCAUACAAUAAUAAAUCCCCAUUUACUUUCUCCGCGCAUGGAGGGGAGAGUAGGUCGGGAUGGUUGAGGGGAAGGAGGUAGUUCUGGGCGCCGUGUUUCAAGAAGGAUGGAGAGGAGCUCGAGGGGCAGAGACAGGAUUCAAGGGGCUGGAAAGGUUGAGGCUAUUAGACGUGUUCAGCUUGGACACACAGGGAUGAAGGGGAGACACGAGACCUAAAAGACCGCCAUCGGGAAGAGGGAGAAGCAACACGCUGUCCUUUCCACAGAAGGAAGUGUAACAACACACAACAGACUGGGAAGGACAAAAGCAAUUAGCCACAAUGGAGCUGCCAUCAAGUGACACAAAACACCCCCAAACUGAUUCUCAGGAGGGUCCUUCUGUUGAGUAAAAAUGUUGGAGCAGCCCGCAGGGACCCUAAGUGUGUUAUGUACCUGUGGGAGUAUUUCCUUGAUACAGAGGCUGUAGAAGACAGCCACAAAGCUGCUGUGUAGACUCCGUGGCAAGCCUUGGUGCAGGGCAGCAGAGGAAUCUAGGAGUCAAGCACCACAGAUGUCCUGGCACAUUGGCCCACGGUGCCGCCUGGGGAGGCUGCUGUCAUUUAAACGACCUUCAGAGCUGCUUCAGAUUCAGGAGAGCACAAAGAUGGUUGAAGUCACUGUACCCCCCCCCACCCACCCCGCCCCAUUAAACACAGCAAAAUAUUAACCUUUGUGUUUACCUAAUAGCAAGGCAUCUAGACUUUUGGGAAUGCCUUGUUAUUGUUGACAGACCCAAGUAAAUAUUAGGAAGAUCCUAAGACAUUUUUUUAUUGUGCAUCUUUAUCACCCCUUCAAAACCAAGAAAGGGAACUGGCCGAUUUAGAUUAGUUGGCCUUUAUUUUAUUAUAUUCUUUAAAAUUUUAUGCAUGUGCUUAACGUUAUGCACUGUUGGUAUUUGCAUCAAUGCAUCUUUCCAGGACUGGCACAUUAGUUUGUAUACAUCUUAGCAAAACCAAGCUAAAACUCCUAAAAAGAGUUCAGUUUUAAAAGAUUCAGUUUUAAAAAGAGUACAGGGUGAAAGUAUUUCAGUGGAGUCUAAUAGGUUCAACUAGUUCUCCCCAGUCGCUCAGUUAUUUUCACCCUGUUAAAAUACAAUGCUUCAAAUACAUGACACCUUUAAUCUCCAAGGGAUUCAAAGCAAUUCAGGAACUAUAUAUACACACAGUUUUAUAAUACUGCCACCUCUGGGGCGAAAGACAGCAGACAGGUAGACAACUGGCAUUUUACACAACUGUAAAGUGAAAUGAAAUUAUACAGAAAGACAGAGGCAAAAAAGUAUCUGUUAAGAGAGCCAAGGGGACCUUUAACAGCCCGAGGAGCAGACAAGACCUCAAGUCAUAAUGUUCCUUUUGCCAAAGUCCCACAGGAUAAAAAGUGUCGAAGAAAAGGUACACUCGGUAUACAGACUGGUCUGGUGGGAAAAGGCUGCAACACUUCCUUUAUUCAUGGCAAACAGUGCUUCUCACCUUGGGAAAACAUAUGCCAUUAAGCUGAGUUUUCCUUUAACUCUGGAAGGACAGAAAACAGUAGUUCCCUCUGACUGUGUGGGCGCAGUCAUGCGCUCCAUGUGAUGUGGAGUAUUUUUAUAGCAAGGGGGGAAAAGAGAGAGAAUGUGUAGGAGAGAGCUGGGCCUUUGAAAGAAAAGCACUUUUUUUUUUUCCUUUUCAGAAGGCGGGGGGAAUUUGAGAGAAGGAAGCAAAAUUAUGUAAACUGUUUUAUAAGCUGUCAAAGUUUUAAAAGCCCCAUAGCAGGUUUAGAAAAGAUGGAGUUCACUUUCCACAUUCUUUCUUUCCAUAGAUGAAAGGGGCCAGUGAAAACAAUUGACCUCAACUGUUUUAAUACUGUGUUUGUUAUUAUAUAACCAAGGCCCCUCUGUUGGCUAUACUGAGGGGGAACUGCAAAUAUGUUUCUAUUUAACGGGAUGCUGUUAAUUUAAAAAUAAUGCCUCUGAACCUCUCCUACCUACUGUUGUUGCAAAGAUUACUGUAUAGAUUAGAGAAAUAAUAUUUCCUGGAUUUUUUUUUCCAUUGUGCUUAAUUUCUGCAUUUAACAAAACUGUGAGCCUGAGCAGUUUGGCUUUUUCCCUAGUCAAGACAUUUUUCUCUGUUUACACAAGUCUUUCAUAUGGCACCAGAGGAGAGAGGAACAUUUUGAAAAAAUAGCAAAAAUCAGAAAGCUACCAAAGUGAUCAACCACCAAGGACAGCUGUAGGACUUUAAAUAUAGUAAAUUAAAGACAAAAAUAAUAACAGUUUAGUUGGCAGCUGCCCUGUAAAUGUAUGUGCACUGCAUUUAUUUAUUUUCUGUUCCCAACAAAGUGGGCGAGCAGCAGGCCCAUAGACUUUUGUCAUUUAAAAGUAUUUGAGAUUGACACAGGCUCAGACCUCCUAAUUUUAUUCAUGGUGUUGUUCAUUUCUUGGCCCAAAGUAACCUCACAACAGGCCAAAUGUUUUUUAAGCAGUGUUCCCCACUGGAGUCAUUUGGGGGUCUUUAAGUCUGGUGACACAAUUACCUGCAUGGUUUUUGAGAAAACACGUACAUGGUGCACAUUUAAGUUGCAAUUAAUAAUCAGCAUGGGUUUAAAUGGUAAGGUUAGGGAACGAGUUAUGAGUUAGAGCCUUUCAUUUCCAUGCUUCUGGUCAAACCAGCCCAGAUUAGAGGAACCAAGUUACCUACAGUAGAUUUCUCAGUCAUCUUUAUGAACUGAAUGGAUGAUUUCUGACGGGUGCUUUCUGACAAGCUCACACAUACAUCGACAGUCUCAGCAGCGAUGUGGAUGGAGAUGAACGUACCCUGCGCCCCAGGCUGCCAACACACUAUUUUUUCCACAGCUGAUCUCUAUUUAAAAAAAAAAUGCUCAAGUUCCUAUUAAUCCUUCUCCCUGAAUAUGGAGUUAGGGCAGGGGUGGCAAAAUAUGGCCUGUGGACCAGAUCCAGCCAACAAGGAAUUCUGUGCGGCUUGACCCUGUCCAGCCCAGGUGUGUGGGGCAGCUUGGGCCAUGGCAUGUGCAGCUGGUUCUACCACCCUGGGGUGCAUGGUGGCUGGACUCGGCUUCCUGGCAGCCCCCUCAGCAGCACCUCUUUGGCUGCUAUUACUAGGGUCUCUGCUGCUGCUAAAUCUGGUCCUGCUGCCCGAGCCCCAAGACCCAUUCACCCUGUACCUGCUGCAGGGGAUGCCAGAUGGAGUGGGCAGGUCUCCUUGAAGAGCAGCCGGGACCCCUGCAGGCAGGACAGGGAGCAGCGUCCAGAAGCAAAAUGGAUUAGUGGGCAAAGACUGGGGUCGGGGCUCAGCCCGUCACUGCCCUGCGAUCGCAUCCCUGGCUGCCCACCCAUGAUGGCCACCCUAUGGUGGGUGCAGGGCAGACAGGCCCCAUACAAUCCAUGCCCCUCCUCCCUGGCCUGCCAGCCAAAAUAAUUGUCCAUCCCUGGCCUGCUCCUUCACUGCAGAUGACCAUCAGGAAACAGAGAGACUUUCAGAUUCCAGGAUGCUGCAAGUGCAUGAAUCUGUUAUGGAGAGUCAGAGAUUCAGGUUUUACCCUGGCUCCUAAUGACCGAUGUAGCAUUGCUAGGCUUGGCAGGAUUCCAUUUUUAUUGCUAAACAUCAAUAAAUGUUGAUUUAACCUCUCACAGAUCAAUGCAAAAAUAUU